rnacentral:misc_RNA from 1 species
CCUGUCUGAGUGUCGUGUAGACUCGACCGCCCGGGUUUCCGGGCGGACGGACUUGGGCGUUGCCUCUGGCUCGCCUCAAAAGCAUUAGCGGUGAGAUGACUAGCCGGCGAAUCAAGUGUUCCGUCUGCGACCCGUCCCCACGCUCAGAAACACACCGAACCUUUGACCUCAGAUCAGGUAGGACUACCCGCUGAACUUAA